GACGAACGCUGGCGGCGUGCUUAACACAUGCAAGUCGAACGAAGUGGCGAACGGGUGAGUAACGCGUAAUCAAACUGCCCUUCAGAGGGGGACAACAGUUGGAAACGACUGCUAAUACCGCAUACUGAAGGAGGGGAUUGCGUCUGAUUAGCUAGUUGGAGGGGUAACGGCCCACCAAGGCGAUGAUCAGUAGCCGGGUUGAGAGGAUGAACGGCCACAAUGUGACUGGAGCACGGCCCAGGAUCCUACGGGAGGCAGCAGUGGGGAAACUUCCGCAAUGGACGGAAGUCUGACGGAGGAACGCCGCGUGAGGGAUGGCGGCCUUCCGGUUGUAAAGCUCUGUUAAUCGGGACGCGGUACCGGAAUAGAAAGCCACGGCUAACUACGUGCCAGCAGCCGCGGUAAUUC
rnacentral:rRNA from 1 species